UGCAGGAACUGCAACAACAAAAUGCUCAAUCAGUAUGCUGGUUUGAAGAUUACUGCCUUCUGUGACAAGAUGUCAUCUUUCCUGUCUUGGAACAGUUCAUGUGGGAUUUGUGGUCAACAAAGUGACACUGAUAUAUCUCUUUCUCUGAGCAUCAGUUUUCCUGUGCCACCUGUCACUCCAAUACACCAUACUUGCAUCUAUCAUCAUGGACUGGCACUCCUUCCAGAAGCAGUACCAAGGGACUAGGCUCAUUCCAUUCUAAGAAUUAAAAUGAUUUAGAGCUGAGUCAGUAUAGCGAUGGGCUUGAGCCGGACAGCCAGGGUUCGAUUCACAGCUGGAGCAAGAGGAGGAAAGAGUGUUUCAAAAGGAAGUCAUAGAGAAAAACACAACACACUUCAGAUGACAUGAGUCACUUGGUAUUAUUAUGUCCGUUGCUGUGUGUUUGCGGUGGAUUGAGCCUUUAAAUUGGGAACUUCAUCUCUGACUUGGCAUGUAGCUGGAUACAGAGGCAAAGAAGAGGGAAUUAAAAAUAUUCUCCAUGAGUACUGAGGCAGCAGCUGAUGGAUCCCCUCCACAAAGAACCCUCUGGGCUGCUGCUAGGACUGCAGCACCACCAAGACCUUGACAUCUUCAUCCAAUCAGAAUCUACUUACAAAUAGGUUUCAUUUGAACAAUCCUCUUACAUUCAUAUAUGUAGUUUACAUCUUACCCUUGAAGCAUUCAGAUCUUUUGGCAGUCAGAAAUGUUAUGGAUAUAACAUUCAUCAAGAUACAGUUUCAAAUUUAAAGUGUAUCAAAGUAUGAUUGAUUCAAAAUAUUUAAGGAUAAAAUAUUUCUGUUACAAGUUUUGCACACUAGGUCUUAGUUUGAUCAAAAAACCAUUAAAAUGAAUUAAAUAAAAAUUUUAAACCCCAUUGUGAAAUUAUGUGAUUCAUGAAAAGUUAUAUGAACUUAUUUUAUCAUCUGCUGAAUUCAGGGCAACAUCUCGGUCUUUGAAGUUUAAUUUUCUUAAAUUAUUUGUAUUUACAGCCCUUCAAGAGCUAAUUUUAAAUUAAUUUUGUCUACCAUGAACAUAUUACUUCAGGAAAGGCAAAAGUUGGGGACCAAUUUGGUUAGAAGUUUUUAACUCCUUAAAGCACAAUGGUUACUGCAUAUAGUGUGUACCAUCAGGGCCAGCAUGGCAGAACAAGUGAACCAAGCUGCCUCCUAUGGUAGCACAUUUACAGCUACUUUCUCCUUGGCUGUCUGCUGAUUUACAAUUAAUUUCUGUUGCUCUUUGUUCAAAUCAUAAUCAUUCAUUAUCACUAUUUUGUACACAAAAGGUAAAUAUAACUACGAACUGUGUGUGCUAGCAUUGCUGUCUAAUUCUAUAAUCUGAAGCCAGCAACAGCACUCUCACUCUUGUGACUGGAUGGUCCUGUACAUUUUACUGUUUCUUUGCUUACUAUUUUAAGAACUGCAGUACCACUGCCAGUUUUAUUUUUCAUAAUAUCUGAGAAUUUUGUGUUAUUGUGUUUUGAGAAUGUUGAACUGUUUUUAACUGGGGGAAGGAGUGGAAUUUCUCAUCUCCUGGGGCAGUACUGAGACUUGAAACAGCCCUGCAUGCCACCUUAUUUAACCUACAAAAACACUGCAUUCUGUCUACAGAAUAUAUUAUUAUAUUUCAUAUUAUUCUUAUGGUAAAGAGCAAUUUUUUCUCCAAAUAGUAUUAAACAUCUUAUAAUAGGCAUGCUUUGUGCAUUUUGAGAUGGAGAAAGUGAAUCUAUAUAAAUAUGAUUUAGAUGAACUUCAGGAUUCAGAAGAUUAAAAGAGACCAGCAGCAAACUUCAGUGUAGAUGUAGUUCCCCUUUUAGACCCAAGUUACUAUGAAGAUGUCAGUAUUUAGCGCAGUGAUGCUUCUCCGUAAAAACAAUGUUGAUCCAGUCUCCUUAUUCCUCUUUUACUCCUACUGUAUUUCCUCUUCAUUCAUCUCUUUUCCUUCUUUAUGUUCUCAUUACCCUCUCUCCUUAAUCCAUAAUCUUCAUCGCCUAUUAUAUUUUCAGUUUCUCUCUUUCCUCUUCACACCAUUCUUCAUU